UCGAUGAAGAACGCAGCGAAAUGCGAUACGUAGUGUGAAUUGCAGAAUUCCGCGAAUCAUCGAGUCUUUGAACGCAAGUUGCGCCCGAGGCUUGUCCGAGGGCAUUUCCGCUAGAGCGUCACCGCGCCCCCCACCGAUCCGCUCCCGCCGCGAGGCGCGUGUCGUGUCGAGUGGAAGUGGCCGUCCCUGCGAAGCGGCCUUCUUUCACGAGGAGGCCGCCCUUGUCCAAGGGUCGGCUGAAAUGGAUGGAAUCGGGCCGCCGUGGUGACACAGUCCGCGAUCGGGUGAUUUCGUCGCGAGCCUCCUCCGUGAGGCUCUCGUUGAAUUUUUCUAAGUGCUUGGCUGCGUCCCCCAGUUGGCUCGGGUUACCUCAUGCAGGUCGAGCGCGCCCCCGCGGCGCGCGUCACGCAUCAGACCUCUAAUCGGAAAAGACUACCCGCUGAGUU
rnacentral:rRNA from 1 species